rnacentral:rRNA from 1 species
UACGGAGGGUGCGAGCGUUGUUCGGAAUUACUGGGCGUAAAGCGCGUGCAGGCGGUCGAGCAAGUCAGAUGUGAAAGCCUCUCGCUCAACGAGAGAAGUGCAUUUGAAACUACUCGGCUGGAGUUCGGGAGAGGAGAGUGGAAUUCCUGGUGUAGAGGUGAAAUUCGUAGAUAUCAGGAGGAACACCGGUGGCGAAGGCGGCUCUCUGGCCCGAUACUGACGCUGAGACGCGAAAGCGUGGGGAGCAAACAGG